GACGAACGCUGGCGGCGUGCCUAAUACAUGCAAGUAGGACGCAGUUGCGAACGGGGGAGUAACGCGUAGGUAACUACCUAUUAGAGGGGGAUAACUAUUGGAAACGAUAGCUAAUACCGCAUACUAGUAGAUGGACCUGAGUUGUAUUAGCUAGUAGGGGGGGUAAUGGCCUACCUAGGCAACGAUACAUCGCCGACCUGAGGGGGUGAGCGGCCACACGUGGAUUGGGACACGGCCCAGACUCCUACGGGAGGCAGCAGUAGGGAAUCUUCGGCAAUGGGGGGAACCCUGACCGAGCAACGCCGCGUGAGUGAAGAAGGUUUUCGGAUCGUAAAGCUCUGUUGUUAAGGAAGCGGUACUUAACCAGAAAGGGACGGCUAACUACGUGCCAGCAGCCGCGGUAAUAC
rnacentral:rRNA from 1 species